UUGCUAUUUCUGACAGGCAGAGGCAGUUUUCUGAAGGAUGGUUAAUGUCAGUACCAACAUGUUGUGAUGGAGGCUUCCACCUGAGCUGAACACAGAAACUUGCACACAGUGAUGGAAGCAGUCGUUCCUGUUCAGCAUUGAUAUGCCGGUAAUGGGUUUGAUGAGCCACAGCAUGGUGAUGGGCAAUCAGCAUCAGGACCAGGGCCGCUCACAAGGAGAACCUCCUGCCCUGCCUCUUCAUCCUCAACCUCCAAUCUUCCUGCUCUUCACACAUGUGCAGGCACAGAGCCAGUUUUCAGAGGGAGGGCUGAUGACACCAGCAACUUCGGAUCUGAACCUGAUCAACCCAGCACCAACCACUGUGCCGCUCCUCCUCUGCCAACUGCACCACAUGGCUCCACCAUCUCAAAAAG